AUGGAGUUGGUGAGCUGGAAUGUUUGUGGUCUAAACAAUCCGGCUAGGAGGAAGGCUCUAAGAGAGAUGGUUGAUUCCACUAGGGCUAGUAUUUGGUGUAUCCAAGAAUCGAAGUUGGAUGUAGUUGACCAAUUUACCAUAAUGCAAUGCUUUGGUCCGGCGUAUGAUGGUUUCUUUUACUUACCAUCCUCGGGUACGAGGGGAGGCAUCAUAUUAGUGUGGGACUCGUCGGUGGCUGGUAUAUCUAACUGUGUUCGAGACACUAACUUCAUAUCGGCCUUUGUGGUGCCUCGCGAAGGUGCCCCAUGGUGGCUGUCGGUGGUUUACGGGCCAUAG
rnacentral:rRNA from 1 species